UCAACGCUGGCGGCGCGCUUAACACAUGCAAGUCGCACGAGAAAGGGGCGAACCUGAGGUAAAGUGGCGUACGGGUGAGUAACACGUGGGUAAUCUACCUCCGGGUGGGGAAUAACGCUGGGAAACCGGCGCUAAUACCGCAUAACCUCGGGAGAGCAAAGCAGCAAUGCGCCUGGAGAGGAGCCCGCGGCCGAUUAGUUAGUUGGUGAGGUAACGGCCCACCAAGGCAAAGAUCGGUAGCCGGCCUGAGAGGGCACACGGCCACACUGGCACUGAAACACGGGCCAGACUCCUACGGGAGGCAGCAGUGGGGAAUCUUGCACAAUGGGGGAAACCCUGAUGCAGCCGACGCCGCGUGAGCGAUGAAGCCCUUCGGGGUGUAAAGCUCUUUCGGCAGGGACGAUUAUGACGGUACCUGCAGAAGCAGCUGCGGCUAACUACGUGCCAGCCGCGGC
rnacentral:rRNA from 1 species